AUGGAUCACUUCGAUUCCUUCGGGUCAACGGGCAUGGAUGCUGUCUGGAUGGGGUCUUGCGGCUGGCCGGCGGCCUCGGCGACGAGCGGGGAGCAGGAGGCGGUGGACCUCCGGAGAGGGCCGUGGACGAUGGAGGAGGACGCGCUCCUGGCCGGCCACAUCGCCAAGCACGGCGAGGGCCGGUGGAACGAGCUGGCCUGCGCCGCGGGGCUGAGGCGCACGGGGAAGAGCUGCCGGCUCCGGUGGCUCAACUACCUCCGCCCCGACGUCCGCCGCGGCGACUUCACCCCGCAGGAGCAGCUGCUCAUCCUGGAGCUCCACUUCCGGUGGGGCAACCGCUGGUCCAGGAUCGCGCGGGAGAUGCCGGGCCGGACGGACAACGAGAUCAAGAACUACUGGCGGACCAGGGUGCAGAAGCACGCCAAGCAGCUCAAGUGCGACGUCGACAGCCGCCAGUUCCGGGACGUCAUGCGGCACCUAUGGAUGCCCCGCCUAGUCGAGAGGAUCCAGGCCGCCGCCACCGCCGCCACGCCCGCGCCGAUCCUGGAACACGCGCCGUCGCCCAUGUACCAUUCGCCUGAAACGACGACGGUGACCACGUCGAGCACGGCUGGUUCAUCGGUGUCUCUCGAGGUGCAGUUCCCGUCCAACCAGCUUGUCAUGACCGUCGGCAGUGCGACGAACUGGUCAGGCGCAGGCAGCGAGCAGUGCGGCAGCGCCAGCGCGAGGAGCGAUGACAUGUUCGACGGGAGCUGGUCGGAGCUCCUCGCUCGUGCGUGCGACGACGGCGCCGACUCUGUGGUGUUCCCCAACUUUGAAUUAGGAGAAUCCAGAGACGACAAGUGGAGCUUGGAAGACAUCUGGUUACAGCACCAGUACUGA
rnacentral:rRNA from 1 species